AUGAAUGAAAUUGAGUGGGGUUGUAGCUGGCCUUUCACCGGGCAUGUGCACACCUCAUUCGACCACCUUCUACACCCCUGUGCACUUCUCAUGAGUUGGGCCGCGUCUGAAACACGACAAAGUCCGGCUCGUGUGUUUUAUACAAACGAAUCAUGUUACAGAAUGUCACUACCAUGCUUUGAAGCAUAUAAUA
rnacentral:misc_RNA from 2 species